rnacentral:rRNA from 1 species
UACGUAGGGGGCGAGCGUUGUCCGAAGUUACUGGGCGUAAAGCGCGCGUAGGCGGUUAUUUAAGUUCGGGGUGAAAGGUUCAGCGCUCAACGCGAACAGUGCCUUGAAUACUGGGUGACUUGAGUUCGGGAGAGGGCAGUGGAAUUCCUGGUGUAGCGGUGAAAUGCGCAGAUAUCAGGAGGAACACCGAUGGCGAAGGCAGGUCUCUGGGCCACUACUGACGCUGAGAAGCGAAAGCAUGGGGAGCAAACAGG